rnacentral:rRNA from 1 species
AGGACGAACGCUGGCGGCGUGCUUAACACAUGCAAGUCGAGCGGUAAGGCCCUUUGGGGUACACGAGCGGCGAACGGGUGAGUAACACGUGAGCAAUCUGCCCUUCACUUUGGGAUAACCUCCGGAAACGGUGGCUAAUACCGAAUGCGACUGCCGGCUGCAUGGUCUGGUGGUGGAAAGUUUUUGCGGUGGGGGAUGAGCUCGCGGCCUAUCAGCUUGUUGGUGAGGUAAUGGCUCACCAAGGCUUCGACGGGUAGCCGGCCUGAGAGGGUGACCGGCCACACUGGGACUGAGACACGGCCCAGACUCCUACGGGAGGCAGCAGUGGGGAAUAGUUGGACAAGUGGGCGGAAGCCUGAUCCAGCAACGCCGCGUGAGGAU